UUCACAUACGAUCACAGAAGUUAAGCAAUGUCGAGCCUGCUUAGUAACUAGAUGGGUGACCACUUGGAAAUACCAAGUGCCGUAAG